rnacentral:piRNA from 1 species
UAGGCAAUGGGGUUGUCAUGUUCAUGUC